rnacentral:rRNA from 1 species
GAUGAACGCUAGCUACAGGCUUAACACAUGCAAGUCGAGGGGAAACGACAUCGAAAGCUUGCUUUUGAUGGGCGUCGACCGGCGCACGGGUGAGUAACGCGUAUCCAACCUGCCCAUCACUUGGGAAUAACCUUGCGAAAGUAAGACUAAUACCCAAUGACAUCCCACGAAGACAUCUGAAUGGGAUUAAAGAUUUAUCGGUGAUGGAUGGGGAUGCGUCUGAUUAGCUUGUUGGCGGGGUAACGGCCCACCUAGGCAACGAUCAGUAGGGGUUCUGAGAGGAAGGUCCCCCACAUUGGAACUGAGACACGGUCCAAACUCCUACGGGAGGCAGCAGUGAGGAAUAUUGGUCAAUGGGCGAGAGCCUGAACCAGCCAAGUAGCGUGCAGGAUGACGGCCCUAUGGGUUGUAAACUGCUUUUAUAAGGGAAUAAAGUGGGUCUCGUGAGACUUUUUGCAUGUACCUUAUGAAUAAGGACCGGCUAAUUCCGUG